CCUCCUGCAGCUCCCGCCCGGUGGAGGCAGACGCAUCAACAGGCAAUUUCAGUGCAGCGUGACCAGGGCCACUCUCUAGGGAAGCCUGGGGACCGUGUGGCCACAGGAGGGGCCCGACCCCACAGAGGGAGGCCGGGGCAGGCUGCAGGGCAGCUCCCUUGCCCUGUAGGUCCCUUGGCACCUGCCCCCGCCCCAUCCCCGCUGCGGCCAGGCCUCGGCCCCAGAUGUGCUCUGGCCAAAGCCGGGAGGCAGAGAGGUGAGGGCACCUCAGCCCUGGGUCUCGCCUCAGCAGGUGAGAGGAGAGCCAGGCAGUUGCUAGUGUUAAUUGCAGGGAGGAUGUCUGGCAGAAAUAAGGUGGUUUUUCUGCUUCAGUGACGACUGUUACAAUCAAAUUGUCCACAGACAAUUAGCGGAGUGGGAGAAAUAAGAAUUAGAUUUCUAAUUAUUUUCCCAGUAAAAGCCGCCCUGGACCCCGUGGGUGAGGGGGAAGGGCUUUUCAGUGGAGCCAACAGGCGCUCUCGUGGGUCUAGCUCCCCUGGGCGGGGGUGGGGGGGGACCCCAAGCAGGAGUGUCCACGGGGGAAGGAAGGUGCAAACCUCGCUGAAUCUCGGGUGCUGGAAAGAGCUGGGGAUCUGGACACUUGGACCCCACAACUAGCCUUGAGGCUAACUUGCCGUCACUUCCCAUUUUUGAGUCUGGGAGGCUCAUUCCAACUCCCGGGUCAUAGAGCUGCUGUGAGGAGUGAAGGAGAGGAGGCGGCAAGAGCACCGACAGACCCCGGCACAGGGCAGGGCGUCCCGCGGGCCCUGGCCCCAAGCCCACACGCCUGUGGGCAUGUGCAAGCUCACACACACUCAAGCACAGGAAGCCUCUCCUUCCACACCCCCCUGCCUCCCUGGUUGGCCAGGUCUGUGUCAGUGACAGAGGGAGGGGACUCAGCGAAAGGAGGGAGACGGAACCCAGUGAAGCCCCACUCUGAAGAGGACGCCUCUCCCUGAUCUGUGUGAGCCUCAGCCUCCACGUCUUGCAAAUGAGGCUGAGGGUGCCACCUGCCUGGGGUCGAAGCAAGGGUUCAGUGACACACAUGUCCAGGGCGUGCCUCAGGCCCGGCACACAGCGUUUGUGCUCAGUAAAUACCAUUCACAGCCCAAGUGCCAUCCCAGGCAUCCAGCCCAGGCCUGUGAGGCUGCAGAGGGAGGGGAGGGGGCGUUUCUGGAGGGAACCCAGUUAGGCAGCUGAAGGAAGGGAUGAAUAAGGACUUCUCAACCCCUACCAAGCACAAGGGCUCUGGUCUGAGUAUCGUGAGCCCACCAGACCCAGCCUUCGUCGGGGGCCCCAGACACUCAGAAGGACAGAGGACGGAGCAGAGAAGGACCCACUGAGCUGCUGCAGCAACCAAGAAAGCGGCUUUUGAGAUGAUGGAUCCUCAAGAUCAAAGCAGCAUGGAGAGCUGAGUCACCCCAUGAAGGACAGCAGCCCAGAGAGAUGCCUGGACCUGCGGGAGAUUUUGCAUAAGCCAACAAUAAGCUUUUGUUAUGUUUCUCCACUGAGAUUUAGGGGCUGUUUGUUACCGCAGCAUAGCCUGUCCUGUCCUGACUAAUACAGCCCUCUCUGAGUGUAAUUGCCCUGUCUUUAAUCUGAGGACAACCAUCUGGGUGGCGGUGAGGAUGAACUGUUAAAAGGUCUGCACCCGGCUCCUGAGUGCCUACUGCAUGCCAGGCUCACUGUAAGUCCCUGACCACGAGAUGCCCUGGCUGGGCAGAUGCUAUGACUGAGUGUCUGUGUGCCCCAAAUGCAUAUGUUGAAGCCCCAACCCCCCAUGUGAUGGUGUUUGGAGGUGGAGUCCUUUGGGGGCCUAGGUUUAGAUGAGGUCAUAAGGGUGGAGCUCCCACAGCAGUAAUAGUGCCCUUAUGAG
rnacentral:lncRNA from 1 species